CUAGCUAAUAAUUAAUGUGUGAAGGAAAAGUUGACAUCACCUUGACGUCCGAACAAUACUAAAUUGUAUUGCAUAAAAACAGGAGGGGUGCGUCACUUGAGUGGGUUGAGUCGCUGAUGUGGGUCUUCCUGUCUGGGUUGGCGCCCCCCCUUGGGUUGUGCCGUGGCGGAGAUCUUUGUGGGCUAUGUCUCAGGAUGGACCUGAGCCCUAGGACGAUGCCUCAGGACUACCUGGCAUGAUGACUCCUUGCUGUCCCCAGUCCACCUGUCCAUGCUGCUGCUCCAGUUUCAACUGUUCUGCCUGUGGCUAUAGAACCCUGACCUGUUCACAGGACGUGCUACCUGACCCAGACCUGCUGUUUUCAACUCUCUAGAGACAGCAGGAGGGUUAGAGAUACUCUCAAUGAUUGGCUAUGAAAAGCCAACUGACAUUUACUCCUGAGGUGCUGACUUGUUGCACCCUCGACAACUACUGUGAUUUUUAUUAUUUGACCAUGCUGGUCAUUUAUGAACAUUUGAACAUCUUGGCCAUGUUCUGUUAUAAUCUCCACCCGGCACAACCAGGAGAGGACUGGCCACCCCUCAUAGCCGGGUUCCUCUCCAGGUUUCUUCCGAGGUUUGGGCCUUUCUAGGGAGUUUUUCUUCUACACCUGCAUUGCUUGCUGUUUGGGGUUUUAGGCUGGGUUUCUGUACAGCACUUUGAUAUAUCAGCUGAUGUAAAGUGGUUCCUUGCAUCAAACAACACAACAACAUUUUCAGUCACUUCCUUGUCUGAAGGACAAGUGGAUAAACAGGUUAAUGUCAAGCUCUGCAUGUUUUUUUCCCAAAAGUCUCAUGGAAUGUAGGCUGACAUUGAACACCACUCAAUGGCUGCUGCUGUGGGCUUAACAACAGAUGUCGUGGAAAAUUGCAAGAUUAUGUUAGAAUGCUUGUAUUGCAUUAUAAUGGUUGUUUUAUUCGACAGAAUAUAAUAUUCUGUUAACUAUUGUGUGUGUGUGUUCUACUGAGGAUGGGCCUCUAUGAGAUAACACUGACAGAGGAGAUUUACGAUGUCUUUGGGUGAUAAAACCUAAAGAGCAUUCCAGAGAACAUGAGCUAAUGUUUCUCUUCUAUACCGUACCAGGGAGAGAUGGUUCCUGUUUGGAGUAGGAGGGCCAGACACUGGUCUUUACAAUGAAAACUGUUGACACAGCAGUAACUGUCUGCUGUGUUUUAUAGAUAUCUUUCAUACAAAUCUUAACCUUUGUGAACUGUUCCUAAGAUCUGUGGUUCGUCAUGUAAGUUGAGAGGGGUGUAUCUUGGCUAUAAAAGAUCUUUGUACUUUUCUGUUUGUACUUUUCAAUGGUUCAUUAGAGAUAGCGCAUCAUUGAAAGUCAAAAAUGCAAUUGCAAAGCUCUUAUUAUUAAAGAUGUAAUUUAAGUAUAA